AUUGAACGCUGGCGGCAGGCUUAACACAUGCAAGUCGCGCGGGGUGAUGGUGCUUGCACUAUCACUUAGCGGCGGACGGGUGAGUAAUGCUUAGGAAUCUGCCUAUUAGUGGGGGACAACAUCUCGACAGGGAUGCUAAUACCUCAUACGUCCUACGGGAGAAAGCAGGGGAUCACUUGUGACCUUGCGCUAAUAGAUGAGCCUAAGUCGGAUUAGCUAGUUGGUGGGGUAAAGGCCUACCAAGGCGACGAUCUGUAGCGGGUCUGAGAGGAUGAUCCGCCACACUGGGACUGAGACACGGCCCAGACUCCUACGGGAGGCAGCAGUGAGGAAUAUUGGACAAUGGGGGGAACCCUGAUCCAGCCAUGCCGCGUGUGUGAAGAAGGCCUUAUGGUUGUAAAGCACUUUAAGCGAGGAGGAGGCUCUUUUGGUUAAUACCCAAGAUGAGUGGACGUUACUCGCAGAAUAAGCACCGGCUAACUCUGUGCCAGCCGCCGCGGUAA
rnacentral:rRNA from 1 species